CAGGGAGUAGUUUAAAAUAAGAAUAUCAGCUUUGGGAGUUGAAGGUGGAA
rnacentral:tRNA from 1 species